CAGCUAGAUGCGGCACUUUCCUGCUUAGUGGAUCUACUGGCAACAAUUGUGUAAUGCUUGACGGUCACAUUAUUCUUGUGCAGAAGUUUUGCUAUCUGAAAGCAUCAAACGAAGUUUGCAUUGUUGGACAAGAAUUUAAUCUCAGAGAAGACUUUUACACAUCACCCUUUGAGUCCUCACGAAUAGGAAUUUUUUUGGUCUCCACUCUGUCAAGGAAUAAGGUGUGGCCUCUAAGGAAUCCGAAGAAAAUGUUGUUGCUGCCUCACGCCAGCCAGUACAUAGUUCUUCCAGAGAUCCACACCAACUGAAUUGCGUAAUUCGUGUGCUUGUUUUCAUUUUACCAGUGGGUCUGCGUAACACUUGCCUUUCAGUUUUGUAAUCAACGCUUCAUUUAAUUUGAUGUUUCUGUUUCCUGUGAAGAAAAAGUGGUCUAUGUUCAUGCGAAGUUCUGUUUCCAGAUGGCUUAUGCAAUUGUCGAUUUUAUUGGUCGAAAAGAGGUAGAGGUUGUGCCAUCCUCAUGGAUCUCGGACGACAUAUGCAUGUGGCCUAAAGUACCAUUGGACCGACUGACAUCUAUGAUAAGAAAAAACAUCCAUGUUCCUACUUGCCACCAUGGCAAGGAUACGAGGUCCAGGUGAAGGGGCUGUUUGGAUCAUAUGAUGAAGCGCGCAGGAAGUUGGACAAGUCGCAGUACACUUCAGACCUCGGGAGCGACUCUGAACCGCCGCAAAAAAGAAGAAGAACCCCAGCUGUUGUGUGGGAACCUUGCCAGUCGUCUGACAGCCAGCACUCUGAAGAUUUGCCACCGCCACCAGCGCCAGUGAACUUUCCCCAGGCUGCCUUCCCUGCAUCGCCUUGCUCACCUGCAUCGGUUGUGUCACCUCUGCCAGUGGCCUCACCCAUGCCAGCAGCCUCGCCUCUGCCAGUUACGUCAUGUGUGCCAGCUGCCCCACCUUUGCCAGCCAUACCGCCAGUGCCAGCCGUAACACCAGUGCCAGUUGCACCACCUUUGCCAGCUGCUUUGCCUGCCCCAGUCACAUUACCACCACAUGGUAAGCUGAACUACACAGUAUUUUUUUAGGGGCUACACUUCUGUGCGAUUAAAUUUAUUUGUGAAUCUCAACAGGACAAAAAAAAUUAAUGUUUGUACAGCAUGUAGCUGCGUCUGCUGCGCAUGGCCUCCGGUAU